rnacentral:rRNA from 1 species
GACGAACGCUGGCGGCGUGCCUAAUACAUGCAAGUCGAACGCAUUUUCUUUCACCGUAGCUUGCUACACCGACAGAAAAUGAGUGGCGAACGGGUGAGUAACACGUGGGUAACCUGCCCAUCAGCGGGGGAUAACACUUGGAAACAGGUGCUAAUACCGCAUAAUUCCAUUUACUGCAUGGUAGAUGGAUGAAAGGCGCUUUUGCGUCACUGAUGGAUGGACCCGCGGUGCAUUAGCUAGUUGGUGGGGUAACGGCCUACCAAGGCUGCGAUGCAUAGCCGACCUGAGAGGGUGAUCGGCCACACUGGGACUGAGACACGGCCCAGACUCCUACGGGAGGCAGCAGUAGGGGAUCUUCGGCAAUGGACGCAAGUCUGACCGAGCAACGCCGCGUGAGUGAAGAAGGUUUUCGGAUCGUAAAACUCUGUUGUUAGAAAAGAACAAGGAUGAGAGUGGAAAGUUCAUCCCUUGACGGUAUCUAACCAGAAAGCCACGGCUAACUACGUG